rnacentral:rRNA from 1 species
CAGCACCUCAAGUGGUCAGGAUGAUUAUUGGGCCUAAAGCAUCCGUAGCCGGCGCGGUAAGUUUUCGGUUAAAUCUGUACGCUCAACGUACAGGCUGCCGGGAAUACUGCAGCGCUAGGGAGUGGGAGAGGUAGACGGUACUCGGUAGGAAGGGGUAAAAUCCUUUGAUCUAUUGAUGACCACCUGCGGCGAAGGCGGUCUACCAGAACACGUCCGACGGUGAGGGAUGAAAGCUGGGGGAGCGAACCGGAUUAGAUACCCGAGUAGUCC